rnacentral:rRNA from 1 species
AUUGAACGCUGGCGGAAUGCUUUACACAUGCAAGUCGAACGGCAGCACGGACUUCGGUCUGGUGGCGAGUGGCGAACGGGUGAGUAAUGUAUCGGAACGUGCCCAGUAGUGGGGGAUAACUACUCGAAAGAGUGGCUAAUACCGCAUGAGAACUGAGGUUGAAAGCGGGGGACCUUCGGGCCUCGCGCUACUGGAGCGGCCGAUAUCAGAUUAGGUAGUUGGUGGGGUAAAGGCCUACCAAGCCGACGAUCUGUAGCUGGUCUGAGAGGACGACCAGCCACACUGGGACUGAGACACGGCCCAGACUCCUACGGGAGGCAGCAGUGGGGAAUAUUGGGCAAUGGAGGAAACUCUGACCCAGCGACGCCGCGUGCGGGAUGAAGGCC